rnacentral:misc_RNA from 1 species
AAAAUGCGAUACUUGGUGUGAAUUGCAGAAUCCCGUGAACCAUCGAGUUUUUGAACGCAAGUUGCGCCCGAAGCCAUCCGGCUGAUGGCACGCCUGCCUGGGCGUCACGCAUCGCGUCGCUCCCCACCACACCUCCCCAACGGGUUGGCAUGGUGUUGGGGGCGGAUAAUGGCCUCCCGUGCUUGUGUUUCGGUUGGCCUAAAUAAGAGUUCCCUUCGGCGGACACACGACUAGUGGUGGUUGAAUAGACCCUCGUCUUUUGUUGCGUGUCGUGAGCUGUAAGGGUAGCCCUCAUCAAAGACCCCAUUGUAUCGUCUUCGGAUGAUGCUUCGACCGCGACCCCAGGUCAGGCGGGACUACCCGCUGAGUUUAAGC